rnacentral:rRNA from 1 species
GGCCAGCAGCCGCGGUAAUACGUAGGGGGUUAGCGUUGUCCGGAUUUACUGGGUGUAAAGGGCGCGUAGGCGGGUUUGUAAGUCAGAGGUGAAAUCCUGCAGCUUAACUGCAGAGCUGCCUUUGAUACUGCAAAUCUUGAGUUCAGAAGAGAGAGAUGGAAUUCCAGGUGUAGUGGUGAAAUACGUAGAUAUCUGGAAGAACACCAGUGGCGAAGGCGGUCUCUUGGUCUGUAACUGACGCUGAGGCGCGAAAGCGUGGGUAGCAAACAGGAUUAGAUACCCUGGUAGUCCACGCUGUAAACGAUGAAUACUAGAUGUUGGGCCUGAGGGCUCAGUGUCGCAGCUAACGCAUUAAGUAUUCCACCUGGGGAGUACGAUCGCAAGGUUGAAACUCAAAGGAAUUGACGGGGGCCCGCACA